UUUUAGGGGUUUUUCAACGUCAGGACGAACGCUGGCGGCGUGCCUAAUACAUGCAAGUCGUACGCUUCUUUUUCCACCGGAGCUUGCUCCACCGGAAAAAGAGGAGUGGCGAACGGGUGAGUAACACGUGGGUAACCUGCCCAUCAGAAGGGGAUAACACUUGGAAACAGGUGCUAAUACCGUAUAACAAUCGAAACCGCAUGGUUUUGAUUUGAAAGGCGCUUUCGGGUGUCGCUGAUGGAUGGACCCGCGGUGCAUUAGCUAGUUGGUGAGGUAACGGCUCACCAAGGCCACGAUGCAUAGCCGACCUGAGAGGGUGAUCGGCCACAUUGGGACUGAGACACGGCCCAAACUCCUACGGGAGGCAGCAGUAGGGAAUCUUCGGCAAUGGACGAAAGUCUGACCGAGCAACGCCGCGUGAGUGAAGAAGGUUUUCGGAUCGUAAAACUCUGUUGUUAGAGAAGAACAAGGAUGAGAGUAACUGUUCAUCCCUUGACGGUAUCUAACCAGAAAGCCACGGCUAACUACGUGCCAGCAGCCGCGGUAAUACGUAGGUGGCAAGCGUUGUCCGGAUUUAUUGGGCGUAAAGCGAGCGCAGGCGGUUUCUUAAGUCUGAUGUGAAAGCCCCCGGCUCAACCGGGGAGGGUCAUUGGAAACUGGGAGACUUGAGUGCAGAAGAGGAGAGUGGAAUUCCAUGUGUAGCGGUGAAAUGCGUAGAUAUAUGGAGGAACACCAGUGGCGAAGGCGGCUCUCUGGUCUGUAACUGACGCUGAGGCUCGA
rnacentral:rRNA from 1 species